GCACUCGCUUCAGCAGUACAUAUACUAAAAAUUAGAAUGAUACAAAGAAGAUCAGCAUGGCCCCUGUGCAAGGAUGACAUGCAAAUUCAUGACACAUUUCCUUUUUUU